GUGCCUUCCUCCCCUUAACCCUUCCUUGUCCCCUGGAAAGAGCUUGACUAUUCUGUUAAUUUUUUUUUAUUGGUCCUUGAUGUUUUCAUGUUAUAGUGACACUAAUUUCCAUCAAAAGUUAUUCAUGUAUCAUUUGGCACGUCCAUGAUUUCUUUUCUAUUUCUAAAACUUGAAAGUGAGCCUCAUAAAUUGUGUGAAUAACACAUUUUCAUAUCAGGCAACAGUGCUGAGAUAAUGAUGAUACAAGAUUCUGGUCAAUUUGUGUGUGUUAAGAUAUAUACCAUAAAUA
rnacentral:misc_RNA from 1 species